UUCCAGGUAUGUUUUUUUCCAUUUAAGUCAUUUUAAAGUAUAUCUUGCUAAUUCUUGUAUGUUGCAUCUAUUGCUCUUUGUCAAAUUUCCACAUCAGCUGGACUACUUUCUCGAGUCCGUCCCCUGUUGUGUUUACACAUACAGCAAAAAAAGCCGAUUCCACAAAAACAAAGCUAAAAACUGAUCAGAUGAAACGCUCUACACUUGGUGCUGUGGUUGAGACUCCCAUGCCCGUACUCUCCAAAACCUCCUUCACGAAGCUUCCUCAGUGGGAUUUUGAUGAUGUUUAUAACCAGGAUGCACCACCCAGGCAGACAGUAAGCAUGUUAUAACAAGAUGGGACGGGAAUAUCAUGAAUGUGUUAACUUUGUGUGAGUGGGUUAUUUGCACAGCCAUGUGUUCGGGUGUCUUUGGUGUGAACUGCAUGGAAUUUAAAGAACCAAAGAGGGGAAAGAAAAUAAUCCUUUGAUCAAAUGAAACAAAGGUCAUGGGAUCGCCCUAAACAAGUCAUGCCACUGUAUAAUAUCACACUUUAUAUAAACUAAACAUUCCAUUGUAAACCAUGAAUAUUAAAGCUCAGACCAGAGUCUGUAAUAAAGUAUUGAUUGAUAUUAAAGUAUUGAUAUAGGCUAUAUCAUUACAGGGUUUUUUAAUCAUAUCACUUUUUUAAUGUAAUGGGUUAUUUUAUAUAAAUAAUUUGUAAUUAGAUUUUCAUUUCUGUUU